AAACCAGGUCACAAACUGUCAUAUGGUUGAUGACUUGUCUUGUAUAACGAUAUACGUUGAACUUUUACAGUAUUUAUCUGAAAAAAAAGCACACAAUGCGUAAAUGAAACGGGUUAUGUGGACUGCGACCAGAAAUAAAGAAGACAAGCAGACAAUAUGUGGAAUAUACAAACAACAAAUUGAGAUAUUUCGAUCAUAAAUUCUUUAGUUGUAAUCAUGCUUCUUGCCCAUUUUACUCGCUUGGUGUUUGACAUUUGGUUCCAUGUGAUCUUGUGUCAUCUUAUGUCAGCUCUCUGCUCAUUAAAAUAUGUCAAGAUUGUUUUGGAAAAAAUCUUGAGCCUCAUUUGCAUCCAUUCGAACAUUGAAUAGAGGCCAAGGAGCCACGACCCUUACAACCCUGAAAAUACAAGGAUCAGCCACAAUAUUAGAAAGACAAUGAAAGUAUGACCUGAAGUUGGAACAAAAAGAGGUACCAGAUUUUUGCUUCUCUUCUGAUAGGUCACUAGGCAAUGUCAAAAAUAUUGUGUCCACUAUUGCAAAGUUGCAUCUUUAUUCUUUGUGCUUGCAAUAGAUAUCUUCACUUGUUUUACUUUCAGUUGUUUAUUAUUUAAAAGUUUCAUUAUAAUUUUUCAUGUGCCAUGUUUUCUGGUGUGCAGUGUUGUAUUGUAAUGUACUGUAGUGUGCUGUUUUGUAUUUAUACCACUUUUUAUGGCUAUUUUGUUGUGAUGUUGUGAAUUCCAACUCUCUCAAAUUAGCUUGUAAAUUGUUGCAAUUUUAUUAUUUGGGCGCG